rnacentral:rRNA from 1 species
CCUACGGGCGGCAGCAGUAGGGAAUCUUUCACAAUGGGCGAAAGCCUGAUGGAGCAACGCCGCGUGCAGGAUGAAGGCCUUCGGGUUGUAAACUGCUUUUAUAAGCGAGAAAGAUGAUGGUAACUGAGGAAUAAGGACCGGCAAACAAGGGGCAAGCAGCGGCGGUCAAACGAAGGAUCCGAGCAUUAUCCGGAGUGCCUGGGUGUCAAGAUUGGCGUAGGUGGCCUAAUAAGUAGCUAGUGAAAUCUGGUGGCUCAACCAUUCAGACUAUUAGCUAAACUGUUAAGCUCGAGACCGUUAGGGGUAACUGGAAUUUCUAGUGUAGGCGUGAAAUCCGUAGAUAUUAGCAGGAACACCAAUCGCGUAGGCAGGUUGCUGGGACGGUUCUGACACUCAGGCACGAAAGCGUCGGGAGCAAACGGGAUUAGAUACCCUUGUAGUC